AUUGAACGCUGGCGGCAUACCUUACACAUGCCAGUCGAACGGCAGCACGGGUGCUUGCACCUGGUGGCGAGUGGCGAACGGGUGAGUAAUACAUCGGAACAUGUCCUGUAGUGGGGGAUAGCCCGGCGAAAGCCGGAUUAAUACCGCAUACGAUCUACGGAUGAAAGCGGGGGACCUUCGGGCCUCGCGCUAUAGGGUUGGCCGAUGGCUGAUUAGCUAGUUGGUGGGGUAAAGGCCUACCAAGGCGACGAUCAGUAGCUGGUCUGAGAGGACGACCAGCCACACUGGGACUGAGACACGGCCCAGACUCCUACGGGAGGCAGCAGUGGGGAAUUUUGGACAAUGGGCGAAAGCCUGAUCCAGCAAUGCCGCGUGUGUGAAGAAGGCCUUCGGGUUGUAAAGCACUUUUGUCCGGAAAGAAAUCCUUGGCCCUAAUACGGUCGGGGGAUGACGGUACCGGAAGAAUAAGCACCGGCUAACUACGUG
rnacentral:rRNA from 1 species